GGUCAAAGCCAAUCCUACGAUGAAAUAACUCCACCACCUCAAAACACAAAAAUAAGGCACACAAUACAGACUGCAGAGAGAUCAAAUUUCCCCAAACUAAACUGAAGAAAUAAGCAAGUAUUGUUAAAUGGUGUAUGGGAACUGCUGAAUCACAGCCUGAACCUGUGAUGGAUCACCUGAGCACUGAGUCAGCCACAGGAGCACAGGUGCAGGCAGUUCACCUGUGCUGCUGGAAGGGGCAGAGCCUGGCUGCACCUCUCCUAGACCCAUUUAAGGGCUGACUGCCACUAGGAAAGGGUCUCUUCUGGAGAUCCCUCCUCUGGAGUUUUGCAGCAAGCCCAGGAUGUGGCAGGACCAAAAGGUGAAGUGCUUUAGAAACAAAUCCACUUUGGAGAUAACCUUCUGUAUGGGAACUGCUGAAUCACAGCCUGAACCUGUGAUGGAUCACCUGAGCACUGACUCAGCCACAGGAGCACAGGUGCAGGCAGUUCACCUGUGCUGCUGGAAGGGGCAGAGCCUGGCUGCACCUCUCCUAGACCCAUUUAAGGGCUGACUGCCAGUGGGAAGAUCCCUCUUCUGGAGAUCCCUCCUCUGAGUUUUGCAGCAAGCCCAGGAUGUGGCUGUCCUCUGCACUUAUCCAAAUCUACAAGAAGUCACCAAGGAAGAAUUAUAAAAAACAUUAAAUACAAUUGCACUCUAUGAAGAAAAGAAACCUCUGUAUUUUGUUGAAGACAAAAACAAGGACCUGAGUAACCUGAUGGCAAUAUCAAAGUUUGUCAAAGUUUGUCCUGCUUUGCUUGGAGGAUGGAUGAGAUGACCUUUUGACCUCCCUUUCAAAUUAAAUUUUCAAUGAUUCUAAAACAAAUGGCAUAGCUUGCUUUUGGUCAGUAUUUUUCAUUCAAGCAGCAUCCAUGCAAAUUACAACAAACAAUUAAUUAGUCAGACAGAAGCCAAGCAUGUUU